CAGCCGCCACGGUAAUACGUAGGUGGCAAGCGUUGUCCGGAAUUAUUGGGCGUAAAGGGCUCGCAGGCGGUUUCUCAAGUCUGAUGUGAAAGCCCCCGGCUCAACCGGGGAGGGUCAUUGGAAACUGGGAAACUUGAGUGCAGAAGAGGAGAGUGGAAUUCCACGUGUAGCGGUGAAAUGCGUAGAGAUGUGGAGGAACACCAGUGGCGAAGGCGACUCUCUGGUCUGUAACUGACGCUGAGGAGCGAAAGCGUGGGGAGCGAACAGGAUUAGAUACCCCAGUAGUCCCUGUCUCUUAUAC
rnacentral:rRNA from 1 species